UCAGGAUGAACGCUAGCUACAGGCUUAACACAUGCAAGUCGAGGGGCGAGCAUGUUGGUUGCUUGCAACCAAUGAUGGCGACCGGCGCACGGGUGAGUAACGCGUAUCCAACCUUCCCCUUAGUAGAGGAUAGCCCGGCGAAAGUCGGAUUAAUACUCUAUGUUCUUCAAUGCGGACAUCUAAGUUGAAGCAAAGAUUUAUCGCUAAGGGAUGGGGAUGCGUCUGAUUAGGUUGCAGGCGGGGUAACGGCCCACCUGGCCUACGAUCAGUAGGGGUUCUGAGAGGAAGGUCCCCCACACUGGUACUGAGACACGGACCAGACUCCUACGGGAGGCAGCAGUGAGGAAUAUUGGUCAAUGGGCGCGAGCCUGAACCAGCCAAGUAGCGUGCAAGGACGACUGCCCUAUGGGUUGUAAACUGCUUUUAUCAGGGAAUAAAGUGAGGCACGCGUGCCUUUUUGUAUGUACCUGAUGAAUAAGGACCGGCUAAUUCCGUGCCAGCCGCUGC
rnacentral:rRNA from 1 species